rnacentral:rRNA from 1 species
AGAUCGAACUAUAGAGUUUGAUCCUGGCUCAGAUUGAACGCUGGCGGCAUGCCUUACACAUGCAAGUCGAACGGCAGCACGGGAGCAAUCCUGGUGGCGAGUGGCGAACGGGUGA